GAUGAACGCUGGCGGCAUGCCUAACACAUGCAAGUCGGACGGGAAGCAUCCUCGUGGUGUUUCCAGUGGCGGACGGGUGAGUAACGCGUAAGAACUUGCCCUUGGGAGGGGGACAACAACGGGAAACGGUUGCUAAUACCCCGUAAGCUGAGGAGCAAAAGGGAGGGAUCCGCCCAAGGAUAGGCUUGCGUCUGAUUAGCUGGUUGGUGAGGCAAUGGCUUACCAAGGCAACGAUCAGUAGCUGGUCUGAGAGGAUGAUCAGCCACACUGGGACUGA
rnacentral:rRNA from 1 species